rnacentral:rRNA from 1 species
GACGAACCGUCCUAACGUUGUUCGGAAUCACUGGGCUUAAAGGGCGCGUAGGCGGCUUGCCAAGUCAGGGGUGAAAUCCUGCAGCUUAACUGUAGAAGGGCCUUUGAUACUGGCGAGCUCGAGGGAGGUAGGGGUAUGUGGAACUUCCGGUGGAGCGGUGAAAUGCGUUGAUAUCGGAAGGAACGCCGGUGGCGAAAGCGACGUACUGGACCUCUUCUGACGCUGAGGAACGAAAGCCAGGGGAGCGAACGGG